rnacentral:rRNA from 1 species
CCUACGGGGGGCAGCAGUGGGGAAUCUUGCGCAAUGGGCGAAAGCCUGACGCAGCCAUGCCGCGUGAAUGAUGAAGGUCUUAGGAUUGUAAAAUUCUUUCACCGGGGACGAUAAUGACGGUACCCGGAGAAGAAGCCCCGGCUAACUUCGUGCCAGCAGCCGCGGUAAUACGAAGGGGGCUAGCGUUGCUCGGAAUUACUGGGCGUAAAGGGCGCGUAGGCGGAUCGUUAAGUCAGAGGUGAAAUCCCAGGGCUCAACCCUGGAACUGCCUUUGAUACUGGCGAUCUUGAGUAUGAGAGAGGUAUGUGGAACUCCGAGUGUAGAGGUGAAAUUCGUAGAUAUUCGGAAGAACACCAGUGGCGAAGGCGACAUACUGGCUCAUUACUGACGCUGAGGCGCGAAAGCGUGGGGAGCAAACAGGAUUAGAUACCCCAGUAGUC